GCUUGAAUAGGCAGUGACUCUGUUCCUGUUCCUGCCAUCUUCUCUGCUGCUGUCUCUCUUGUCCUCAUGAUGGACACUGUGCCUGCCCUGUCUCCACAGCUGCUGUCUCUGUAGUCAUCGUGGUCUCUGGAGAGGCUGUGACAACUUGAGUCAGGCUGCACUUCUUGUCUGCUGCCCUAGAAACCAUGAUCCUGGACCUGAGGCAACCUAAGGCUGGCACUGAGGCGAGCAGAGCUUAGAGCUGUGAGAACCUCUUGGAUAGGGGAUGAAGUGUGAGAAGAGGAUUUGGGGUCUGCUGGGUCCCCUUGGCCCUGAGCUUCUCCUGAUGAAGUCACAGCCUUUCAAAGCUGGGGGCAAAGAAAAGCAGCUCGGACGGACAUGGAAAAAUCACCACAAGCUCUUUCUGCUCUUCCUUGUCUCCUGCCUGUUUGUCCUUACACAGCUGCUUAGCUGGGUGACCACAAAGGAGUUCCGGGUCUUUGGUCCCUCAGACCCCAUUGUGGCUGCACCAGGUGGGGAAGCCAUCCUUCCCUGCUCCGUGUUUCCAGCCAUGAAUGUGGAGAACAUGGAGGAGUUGAGGUGGUUCCGCAGCAGAUUCUCAGAAGCAGUACUUGUCUAUCGGGACCAAAAGGAACAGAAAAGAGAGCAGAUGCCUGGGUAUUCACGGCGCACCUUGCUGGUGAAGGACAAGUUCCAUCAAGGCACAGUUGCUGUGAGGAUCCAAAAUGUCCAGGCAUCAGAUAGUGGGCUAUACAUCUGCCACUUCAAACAGGGAGUGUUCUAUGAAGAGGCCAUCUUGGAACUGAAGGUGGCAGCAAUGGGCUCUGUCCCUGAAGUACGCAUCAAAGGUCCAGAAGAUGGUGGAGUGAGUGUUGUAUGCAAUACCUCAGGGUGGUACCCGAAGCCUCAGGUGCAUUGGAGAGAUUUCAGAGGAGAGAAUCUCACAGCAUCCUCAGAGAUCCAUCAUGAAGAUGCUCAAGGACUGUUCAGCACAGAAACCUCACUGGUGGUGAGAGACAGCUCUGUCAGGAGUGUGACCUGCUCCAUCUUCAAUCCUAUCUUGGGUCAGGAGAAAGCCAUGGCCAUAUUCAUCCCAGGAGCAGUCAUGGUGGAGCUUGCUCGAAGACAAGCAGGUUACAGGGCAGCCUGGAGGAAGGCCCAGCUGUAUGCAGAUUGGCGCAAGGAACACUUCCAGGCCUGGACUUUCACUCUGGAUCCAGCCUCUGCCCAUGCCAACCUUGCCAUCUCCCAGGAUAGGCUGAGUGUGACCCGGAACGAUUCCACUCUGUGCUUGGAGGACCUCUCCAGUGGUGUUAGGCAUCGGAGGCAUCUGUAAGACAUUACUGGGAGGUGAACCUAACAAACAGAGAGGGCAGCAAAUGGAUUCUGGGGGUCUGUAGGGAAGGUGUGGACAGGAAAGAUUUUUAUUUUGAGACUCCAGGUAAGGGGUUUUGGACUGUGCGGCAGUCUAGUAAGGGAUAUUGGGCCUAUAUUGACUCUGGGAGGGCUUCAUUAUCUGUCAGGCAAGCUCUGCAGAGUAUGGGGGUGUUUGUGGACUACACUGAAGGUGACAUCUCAUUCUAUAACAUGAGUGACAUGUCCCACAUGUUCUCCUUUCAUGAGGCUUCUUUCUCUGGGACUCUUUUUCCAUACUUCAGGCUUAGGAAUGGAUAUAUUUAAAAGAUUAUCAGCUCCAUGGCAUGUGCGUCUGAGGGGAGGGAGGGAGAAGAGGGGAGGAGAGGAAGGAGAAGAAGGGGAAGAGUAUAAAGAGCAUGAAGGAGUUAGUUUUGCUUCUUUCCAGAUGGAGUCUCUGAGUCCUGCAGGGGAGGGCCUGGUUCCAGGCUCUUGUGUUGUGGACUCUCUCUCAGAGGAAGACUCUCCAUUCCUCCAGCAUGCCAGGAACCAUAGUGUGGUUCACUGCACCCUAGUGUGGUUCACUGCCUAAUUCAUCAGUUUGUCUCCUUGUGGGAGUGUAGAAGCCACAGGCCAAAGCCCCCAUGGGUCCUGGAAGGGCCUGGAGCCUUGACCCACACUGCUACUCAGUCUGACUCCGAGCCUGUGCCUGUGGCUGAGGUGGAAGCGAGGUCAUGCUUUGUGUCAGGUGGUGUAAAACAGGUUGGUUUGAGCUCUGGGAAGGUAUUUUCCUCUUGGCAUUAAAUAGCAUUUUAUUAGUGGUUGGUUUUUUUUCUUUGUUUGUUUGUUUUGUUUUUUGCCAUUUGGCAUGAAACAGACCAAGGGCUGAGUGAACAUUAGUUAAUUUGUUCAUCUGGCCAUGGGCACCUAUUCUAUUCUAUGUCUUGGCUGUUGUGAUCAGUGUUGUAGUGAGUAUGGGCGAAGAGAUGUCUGACACAUGAUUUCCUGUCUUCUACAUUUGUUCUUGGUGAUGAGAUUGCUGGAUCCUAGAUAGUUCCUCGAAGUGGACCUUCUCAGUGGACAAUGACCUGUCUGUCCAUCCAUCUCCAUGAACCUGCCUUAUCAUCAUACCAGAUCUGUCUUUGAUUCUUACAUAAAUUCUUUGAUUUUUGUAUUUGAGUCUCUCUCUCUCUUACAGAAUUACACAUAUAACUACAAAAAGUAAUUCAUAUUUUAUAAA